AUCCUUCUCAGACCCGAGCAAUUCGGGUUA
rnacentral:sRNA from 1 species